rnacentral:rRNA from 1 species
AGCGAACGCUGGCGGCAGGCCUAACACAUGCAAGUCGAACGGUAACAGGUCUUCGGAUGCUGACGAGUGGCGAACGGGUGAGUAAUACAUCGGAACGUGCCUAGUAGUGGGGGAUAACUACUCGAAAGAGUGGCUAAUACCGCAUGAGAUCUACGGAUGAAAGCAGGGGAUCGCAAGACCUUGUGCUACUAGAGCGGCCGAUGGCAGAUUAGGUAGUUGGUGGGAUAAAAGCUUACCAAGCCGACGAUCUGUAGCUGGUCUGAGAGGACGAUCAGCCACACUGGGACUGAGACACGGCCCAGACUCCUACGGGAGGCAGCAGUGGGGAAUUUUGGACAAUGGGCGCAAGCCUGAUCCGGCAAUGCCGCGUGCAGGAUGAAGGCCUUCGGGUUGUAAACUGCUUUUGUACGGAACGAAAAGCCCUGGGUUAAUACCCUGGGGUCAUGACGGUACCGUAAGAAUAAGCACCGGCUAACUACGUGCCAGCCGCCGCGGUAACAC